rnacentral:rRNA from 1 species
GCGAGCUGGGUUCAGAACGUCGUGAGACAGUUCGGUCCCUAUCCGUCGCGGGCGUAGGAAAUUUGAGAGGACCUGUCCUUAGUACGAGAGGACCGGGAUGGACAUACCGCUGGUGUACCAGUUGUUCCGCCAGGAGCACCGCUGGGUAGCUAUGUAUGGACGAGAUAAACGCUGAAAGCAUCUAAGUGUGAAACUCGCCUCGAGAUGAGAUUUCCCAUUUCCUUCGGG